rnacentral:lncRNA from 1 species
UUCUAUGAGCACUCCUUCACCGCUUUCGAGUAUGAUACCCGCACCACUUCCUUGUGGAUUCGAGGAUCCAUCUACGAAGAUGGUCCAUUUGUUUUUAUCCGGGGUAGAUGGUGUGGUCAUCUCGGCUAUGAAGUCUGCUAGCACUUGGGCUUUUAAAGCCUUUCUGCUUUCGAAAAAGAUUUCGAAUUCGGACAACUCGAGCGACCAUUUUAGCAUUCGUCCUGUCAUAUCCGGCCUCGCAAGGAGUUGCUUAAUCGGUUGAUCGGUUCGAACCACGAUGGAGUGAGCUAAGAAAUAGUGUCUUAGCUUCCUCGC